UAUUAACCCAGCUGCUGGGCUGACUCCCGCAGCUCCCGUGUUUGCUGUGAGAAUUUCUUCCCCGAGAAGGGAAAUUGGCUGGAGGCUGAGGAAUCAUGUGGACCUUAUAAGGAAAACAGACAUAAUGUGCUUACUUCUCGUGGCUGCGACACAACCCCUAAGAGUAAACCCAUGUAAAGGAGAAAGGGCAUAUUUGGCUCGUGUUUCCAGAACUUUCAGUCCAUGGCACGCUGGUUCGGCUGCUUUUUGGCCUGUGAGGAGGCAGAGCUGCACAACCAGGAGCAUCGUGGAGCAAAACCAUGUAGCUCGUGGUAGCAGGGCAGCAGAGAAGGAAGGGCGGGUUGAUGCGGAAACAGGAAACCAUAGUAUUCUCUAAGUGGGCCUCGCCUCCUACACUUCCUGCCUCUCCUCCCCCAUGAGAUCGGGCUUCGCUAAUCCAUGAACCCAUCAUUGGACCAAUCAUUGAUGAUGUUUCAGUCCUUAGGGUGUGCUCCCUGCCCACAGGUCCCACUGAACACUGCCGCUCAGGGGACAAAAGGCUCCGUGAACGUAUAGGGUAUAUUUAAGAUGCUGUCUUAGUGUCGCUACUGCUGUGAUAAAACACCAUGGCCAAAGAAGCAUGGGGAAUAAAGGACUUACUUGGU
rnacentral:lncRNA from 1 species